GCCAACGGCCGUACUACGUUGAAUACACCGGUUUUCGUCCGAUCACUGAAGCUCAGCAACGUCGGGUGUACUUGGACGGAUGACCGUUUGGGGACAUUACGCACCGUUGGAA